UUAUUUAGACUAGUUCCUUUAUAAGGAUGCUUAAUCUUGUCUGGUAAGCCACCAUAUAGUUUUGUCCUCAGAAGAUAGUUUUAAGUUUUAGCAAACUUUUGUGACUUCAAAUGGAGGGAUUCCGGAUGUUCUGCUUGAAAGCAAUUAGCACUCAUAACGAAAAUCUUACACUCACACCACACAGAAAACAUGCAAGCUAUAACAUCUUUGUAUUCUGUAACUAAUGCAUCUUUUCAGUCAUCAUCAUGUUAUCCCCUAAGCAUGUAAUUGUGCUAAACUUGAAACUGAAGUUGCAAUUCAAGUGAUGGAAUGCCCAUGUUUAUAUUAUAUGCCAGCUAUCAAAUUUCAUGCUGUCAUUCUUUACCUGCAUUUCAGGUCAAACUAUGAUCUUUUGUGCCGCCUUUAUCUACUUGCUUUUCAUGUAAACUUGUUUUCUCAUAAGAGAUUGUAUCUUUUGGCAGAACCAUGUUCAUAUAACAGAGAUUGAUUAUGAUCCAAGGAAGUGGGUAUAGAAAUAAACUUACAUUCUGUUUGUGAAGUAUGGCUUGCAUAAGAAUGGAUGUGACACCAACUCUUCGACUAUAGUGGCGCAUAACAGUCCCUGGAAAUUUGUCACCCAAGGUUUAUGCAGAAGCUUAUACUUGUCCGUGUAUAAGGUGCCAUCCAUUUGAUUCGACUUUUGUUGCCCAAUCAAAUGGGAAUUACAUUGCUAUUUUUACUGCCACCCCGCCUUACAGACUCAACAAAUAUAAGCGGUACGAGAGCCAUGGUGUCUCUGGCUUUCCAAUUACUUGCAACUUCAGCUUGGAUGGGAAGAAGCUUGCCUCUGGGUCUUCAGAUGGUUCUAUUUACCUUUACGAUUAUCAGUCAUCAAAAGUUUUAAACAAAAUCAAGGCCUACGACCAAGCAUGCAUCGAUGUCACCUUCCACCCUGCUCUACCUAACGUUAUCGCUUCGUGCUCAUGGGACGGAAGUAUUUCUGUGUUUGACUUGCAAACAUAAAAACUGGAAGGAGUGCACAGUUUUUGGUUUCUUUGAGUCAAUGUAGUGGUUCCUGUUUUGUUAUAACUAAUGGUUUGAACGGUGAAACCUCUCAGGUUUUAUUUCUUGAGAGUUGUGUUUUUUUAAUUAUUCUACCUUUCAGAUUGGGUUUAUUGUGUAUUCCAUUACAGAUUAGAUCAAGGUGAAUCAUAUGUUGUUUAAAGAACUGUUCAAAAGUAUUUGCCUCAAGUGAGAAAUCAAUGACUAAACUCUAAUGAUGUGACAGAUUCUUGUUCUGAAUAGUAUAGCAACUACAAAUAUUGGAAGAGAAUUAUUUAAUUAUUUGUUU